GCGGGAGGGCGGCCCCAUCAACCCGCCUCGCUGCCUCCCGGGAACCCGCAGCUCGCUGCUCUCAGCCUGGAGCAGCUCAAGAGCCAGGCCCCCAUGGACACCAAACCAGCUUACCAAAACCCGAGGCGGAAAGCUGAGCAUUCGGUGUCUGUACACCUGGAUGAGCAGGACUGGAAUCCUACGAUGCACAAAAGCCUAUUGGGAAAUGAUCAGACGCAGAGUGAGGUUCAGUCAGGGACACUGGAAGCUGGAGUAGACAGGGUUAUUUCUCAGACAGUGGAUCCAAAAUUAAACCACAUCCUCAGGCCACCAGUGGAAGGAGCAAUUCAUGAGUUUCUGGAGGCCAGGAAAAAAAGCAGCAGCGCCAGCUCCCCGACCAGAGCCCAAAGGGCCAGGACACUCCAGCUCUACCCC
rnacentral:lncRNA from 1 species